rnacentral:rRNA from 1 species
GACGAACGCUGGCGGCGUGCUUAACACAUGCAAGUCGAGCGGUAAGGCCCCUUCGGGGGUACACGAGCGGCGAACGGGUGAGUAACACGUGGGUGACCUGCCCUCAGCUCUGGGAUAAGCCUGGGAAACCGGGUGUAAUCCCGGAUAGGACCGCCCACCCCAUGGAGGGGGGUGGAAAGUUUUCUUGGCUGGGGAUGGGCCCGCGGCCUAUCAGCUUGUUGGUGGGGUGAUGGCCUACCAAGGCGACGACGGGUAGCCGGCCUGAGAGGGCGACCGGCCACACUGGGACUGAGACACGGCCCAGACGCCUACGGGAGGCAGCAGUGGGGAAUAUUGCGCAAUGGGCGGAAGCCUGACGCAGCGACGCCGCGUGGGGGAUGACGGCCUUCGGGUUGUAAACCUCUUUCGACCGGGACGAAGGGUGACUGACGGUACCGGUAGAAGAAGCACCGGCCAACUACGUGCCAGCAGCCGCCGCAG